UAACUUCGGCUAAAUAGGCAGUGAGAGCGUGCCUGAAAAUAAAUUGUACACGCGCAUUCAAAUAAAAUAAGCCAGCAUUAUUUAAUCGGCUUCACGUGUAUUUUGCAAUAGUGAAUUGAUACAAUCAAGCGGAAGGAACUAGUCAAAGUCUAAAUUGUGGGAAUCGACACGAAAAUGCACUGCACGUAGAUUACAUAAGCAAAUGGCAAAAGUCGAAAGUCAUUUUCAGCUAAUCAUAUAACAAAGCAAAGCAUUCAGACUCAGACGUCUCACUACAGAUUGAGAUAUAUUUCAUCAGCUAAUACACACAGAUGUGAAUGUAUUGAGCAAAGUAAACAAGAGCAGAGUAAGAAAACUUGCAAAACUGAACUGAAGUUAUCGAAUUGGCCAAAGAGAAAAUAUGUGCUCGGCAACAAAACAAAGGCAGAAAUGUUCAAGUAGCAGCAGCAAAAGCAGCAAAAACCACAAAAGCAACAGCGUCAAGAACGACAACGACAACAAAUCGGCGCCUAGCAACAAGCCAAAUUCAUCAUCAAUUGAAAUUGCGGCCAUGUGUAACGAGUUGCUGUGACUUUUUCGAUUGAACUUCUUGCAAGCUGCUAAAUGCCAAAGAUUGUAAAUAAUACGUAUACUUAGUACAAUUGUAAAUUGCACAAAUAUUGUAGAAACUUAGAAAGAGAGAGAGUGAUAGAGAGCACAAAGGAAAUCGAAAGUGAUUACGCUGAAUUGAAGUUGAAAUUACAAAUAUUCAAAUUCAAAGUCAAAAAAAGCUCGGAACAAAUUAAAAUUUUUUAUUUAAAAUAAAAUACCAAAAAUAAAGGCAGCAAAAUGAAUGCAAGCACAACGGCGAGCAGUCCCAACAAAUUCAAAUUUAACGUAUUCUCGCACGUGAAGUACGAGCAUUUGGUUGCCGGAGUGUCUGGCGGAGUUGCAUCGACGCUCAUACUGCAUCCGUUGGAUCUUAUCAAAAUUCGCUUUGCUGUGAACGAUGGACGCACUGCGACAGUGCCACAGUAUCGCGGCUUGGGCAGCGCGUUUACCACCAUUUUCCGGCAGGAAGGUUUCCGCGGUCUCUACAAGGGCGUCACACCAAAUGUCUGGGGUUCAGGUUCCUCUUGGGGCCUUUACUUCUUGUUCUACAACAGCAUCAAGACAUUCAUUCAGGGCGGCAACUCGACCAUGCCCCUGGGCCCCGCCAUGCAUAUGCUGGCCGCCGCCGAGUCUGGCGCUCUCACAUUGCUGCUGACUAAUCCCAUUUGGGUGGUGAAGACGCGUCUCUGUCUGCAGUGCGAUUCGUCGAACACCGCCGGAUAUCGGGGCAUGAUGCAUGCGCUGGCCGAGAUCUACCGGGUGGAGGGUAUUCGUGGCUUGUACAGAGGCUUUGUGCCCGGCAUGCUGGGUGUCUCCCAUGGCGCCAUACAGUUUAUGACCUAUGAGGAGAUGAAGAAUGCCUAUAACGAAUAUCGCAAGCUGCCCAUUGACACAAAAUUGGCCACAAGCGAAUACUUGGCAUUCGCCGCCAUAUCGAAGCUGAUUGCCGCCGCGAUGACAUAUCCAUAUCAGGUGGUGCGGGCACGUCUGCAGGAUCAUCAUCAUCGCUACAGCGGCACCUGGGACUGCAUCAGACAGACUUGGAGGUACGAACGCAUGGGCGGUUUCUAUAAGGGACUCGUGCCGUAUCUGGUCCAUGUAACCCCCAACAUUUGUAUGGUUAUGCUCAUUUGGGAAAAGCUGACCAGCUAGAGUAUUAUAAUCCAUCGUACAACUAGUAAAGCACUUAGCACUUAGUUAUCCUAAUUAGCCACACAAUCUACAACAACAACAACAACAACUGAAUUUAAGCACUUAUUGAAUAUACGAAUACGAAUCUAAUUCUAUCAAUAAUUUUUGCCACAAAAUAUUGUGCGUAGCAACAAAUGACAAAAACAAACGUUAUCAUAUUUUGUAUUAUCUUCUAUGAUUUAUGAUUUAUAAUUUUGUUUUAGUUGAUAGACAUGACUGUGUGUUAAGAUAAUUCCAACGUUAGUAUAACUACUAAAAAUGAUUCGAUACUUGUUGUCCUUACAAAAAAAAAAUGAAAUCAAAUUUCAUAACCAAUUUUUAGUUUAGUUUAGUUAAAUUAUUUAUAUAUUAAUUUGUAAGUAAGCAAAUGUAAAUAUGUUCAUCUUAAUGUUAAGCCUCAUUUUCGUUUUUGGCAAAAAGAUUCUUCAUAAUUUUGCAAAUGAAUUUUUUUUUUGGAUAUAAGAAUAACAAAUUGACAUUUAUGAGCACAUAAGCAACUUACUUAUAAAAAUGUGAAACGAAAAGCAUUGUGAACAAAACUAGAAAAGAGAAAAAUGAGAUAAAAGUAUACAAUACACAAAAAAAGAAAGAUAUCAAAAUGAAAAAUGAAAGAAAGAAAGAACGAAAGAAAACAAUCCUAAGUACACAAAUAUUAAAAUGCCAAGAAACCAAACUAAAGAGUUUCCCCAAAGUCUUCAAUACGAGUCUUUUCAUUUCGCCAUUUCGGGCUUGGGGCAUGAACAACUCGCCUGUGGCAAUAAUAUGAGGGCGCUCGGGGCUUCUACAAGGGACUCCAGGCGAGCGUGAUCCGAGUGGUGCCCGCCUGUAUGAUCACAUUACUGGUCUAUGAGAAUGUUUCCCAUUUCAUGUUGGCACAAAAGAAGCAGCGCGAAGGACUUCAGAAAAUCCCGCAGCCGGUUGUUAAGGAUGAAAGCACAAAAUAAGGGAGAAGCACAGUUACUACUAC